GCCGCGUGCAGGAAGACUGCCCUAUGGGUUGUAAACUGCUUUUAUACAGGAAGAAACACUGCUACGUGUAGCAGCUUGACGGUACUGUAAGAAUAAGGAUCGGCUAACUCCGUGCCAGCAGCCGCGGUAAUACGGAGGAUCCAAGCGUUAUCCGGAAUCAUUGGGUUUAAAGGGUCCGUAGGUGGAUAAUUAAGUCAGAGGUGAAAUCCUGCAGCUCAACUGUAGAAUUGCCUUUGAUACUGGUUAUCUUGAGUUAUUAUGAAGUAGUUAGAAUAUGUAGUGUAGCGGUGAAAUGCAUAGAUAUUACAUAGAAUACCAAUUGCGAAGGCAGAUUACUAAUAAUAUACUGACACUGAUGGACGAAAGCGUGGGGAGCGAACAGGAUUAGAUACCCUGGUAGUCCACUGCUGCCUCCCGU
rnacentral:rRNA from 1 species